GGAUCUAGGUUCUGAGCUCCUUAUGAGAAUCCAAUGCCUGAUGAUCUGUCACUGUCUCCCAUCACCCCCAGAUGGGACUCUCUAGUUGCAGGACAGCAAGCUCAGGCCUCCCACUGAUUCUACUUUAUGGUGAUUUGUAUAAUUAUUUCAUUAAAUAUUAUAAUCUAAUAACAGAUCUAA